rnacentral:rRNA from 1 species
AACGAACGCUGGCGGCAGGCCUAACACAUGCAAGUCGAACGCACCGCAAGGUGAGUGGCGCACGGGUGAGUAACACGUGGGAAUGUAUCCUUUGGUUCGGAAUAACGUCUGGAAACGGACGCUAAUACCGGAUGAGCCCUUAGGGGGAAAGAUUUAUCGCCAAAGGAGCAGCCCGCGUCUGAUUAGGUAGUUGGUGGGGUAAAGGCCUACCAAGCCGACGAUCAGUAGCUGGUCUGAGAGGAUGAUCAGCCACACUGGGACUGAGACACGGCCCAGACUCCUACGGGAGGCAGCAGUGGGGGAUAUUGGACAAUGGGCGCAAGCCUGAUCCAGCCAUGCCGCGUGAGUGAUGAAGGCCUUCGGGUUGUAAAGCUCUUUCGCACACGACGAUGAUGACGGUAGUGUGAGAAGAAGCCCCGGCUAACUUCGUGCCAGCAGCCGCAGUAACAC